rnacentral:rRNA from 1 species
UACGUAGGGUGCAAGCGUUGUCCGGAAUUAUUGGGCGUAAAGAGCUCGUAGGCGGUUUGUCGCGUCUGCUGUGAAAUCCCAGGGCUUAACCCUGGGCCUGCAGUGGGUACGGGCAAACUAGAGUGCGGUAGGGGAGAUCGGAAUUCCCGGUGUAGCGGUGGAAUGCGCAGAUAUCGGGAGGAACACCGGUGGCGAAGGCGGCACCCUGGGCCAGUCCUGACGCUGAGGCGCGAAAGCGUGGGGAGCAAACAGG